rnacentral:rRNA from 1 species
ACUAGGCUACUGUCAAUGACUAUAUCGAGGCAGUGAGGGAAGAGGCAGCGAGAUAGUCUGGGUAUGACGUCUAUAGGGAGUCAAAACCACCAGUUGGGACUCCCUCUGAAGACUGAGUGUGACAGAUGUGCAGCAAGAACUCAAUGGGUCUAGAAUAACGCUAAAGCUCCGGGAAGAGCAGACGUUGCCAAAAAUUGGGUCAGGAUGUCGAGAUAUCGAAACUGCUGAGAACCAAGUUCUUUUGGUGUUGAGAACUACCAAUGGCCUUCGUAAAAGACGCACAAUCUAAAAAAGUGGUGUGUUCACUCGGCGCUAAUGAUAUACGUCUCAAAUGUUUCUGCCUUCAUGGCAGGGGAUGUGAGAGAGGUGUGAGCUCUAGGGUCCCUCCCUAAAUAGAAUGCCAAAGGUCGAGAGUAGGUGCAGUAAAGUCAGCCAGCACCUAUAAAGGUCCCGCUAUGUCCAUGGGGCUGACACAGAUUGUUGUCGUGUGGAUUAAUUCAUGACUUGCUCCCAUGUAUUCUUCGUUUGGUUAUGAAGACCUCUUUCUACCCUAGGGUCCUCUAACAGAGAGUAGGGGUGCUUUUAAAGUCUUUCUCUUAGCAUUCGCUUCAAGGUCCUUUCAGGUUCCAGGUCACCUCACAAGAAUGCUUUUUGUCUUUGCUCCUCUUCGUUUGGCUUGAUAUCGCCAAAGAGUAGUAAGGGAACGGAGAAGGGAAAGGUCUGAGGGUUAUCCCUAUGUCGACACGAGUAAAAGACAGUGGGAGAUUACCUUGAGUGUGAAUCUACCGAGUUGCAAAGGAACCACGCAGAGAGGGUGCAAUCAUGAAGGAGGAGGUACCGUAGCUUUUUAUGUAACGGAGUUAAGAUAAACGGGGAACGGUAAUGAAAGAUAACAAGAGAGAUGAGAGUGUUCCCGAAUUCUCGUGCUCGGAAUAUGAUGUGCGAGGGGAGGUGAACACGGGUAGGCGCUAGUAACGAUGAACAGCUUGGAGAAAGUGAUGUGAAGAAACGAAGGGGACACGAAUAUUUUCGAAGAAUCAAAGAUAAAAAGAAUUUAUAAAAUAAUUAAAAGCAAUUUUUUUUUUAAAAAAUGAUGAACUUCCGCAGGUAAAGUCUCUUCGCGAAAACAAACUUAGAAUGAGAAGGAAACGGAAAAGGGUAAAUAAUUGAUUUUUUGUCGAACCGACCCACCGGUGGGUAGGUAGAGUAAAAAAGGACCCUAUUGGAAGACUUGCGAAAAGAGACAAAACAUCUAUCACAUAUCAGAUAAAGUACGAUGCUGAAAACUUAGGCAAACAUUUUGGAAAACCCCGAUAAGAAUGUGAUUUAGGUAGAGAGGAGAGUAUAUGUGCCAUUGGAAAAGUCACUCGGCGUUUCACAAAGUAGAGGAGUAACCAAUGACGAAGGCCCGUAUGGAGAUCUGGAGAGAAUAGAUGUUUAAUUGCAUUGAAGAACACCAUUAAUAAAAAAAUUUUUUUUUUUUUUAUUAUUCUUUUAUUCAGUUUACGAAAAAAAUUAUGUAUGGGGGGGCUCGAAAAACUUGGCUUGCCCUACAUCACAGAGAAAAUUUUAAAACGGAUCAUGAAGUCAGACGUACACAUUGAGAGAAGCUCCUUUCUCUAGGUCAGAAAAGAAGGCGCCAACACACCUGAUUGGAACAGGGGACCGGCGACCGAAACCCCCGGUGAAACGUUCUGUGCCAGAACGUAAACUUUUAAUGAAUCCCAUCAUUAAGUGGUAAUUCAGCAAGCUAUAUUUUGGGAAAUGAGCGGUAGACCAAGAAACCCUAAUGUUUUUUGAAACAUAUACUUGUCGGAUUGUAGUAAUAUUGCAAUAGGACGAUCAUGAUUUUGCACAAAGACGAAACUUUGAGAAAGGCGUUACGAUCUUGGUUGCACUUGACGAACCAUACGGAGAAUAUGAAAGAACGCCUUGGACAGAUAGAAAAAUAGACAUAUUGUAUGCAUUAUAAGAGAAUGCCCCACAGGGAUCAAUUCUAAAUCCCCUUCUUGUGCCAUCAUGGCGUUAAACGCCAACCUAGGGAGAUUAACAGGUAUCGACCUAAAUCGCAAUAGCUCUACUUGGGCGUUUAAAGCCCCCAAUGAGAUAAUUGAGCGUUUGGGCUUUUCCUGCGCAGCUUAGGUGGGGGGCGAAGAAGGCCUCCUUCCGUGGGGGCCCGAGCCAUCAGUGAGAUACCACUCUGGAAGAGCUAGAAUUCUAACCUUGUGCAAGGACCUACGGGCCAAGGGACAGUCUCAGGUAGACAGUUUCUAUGGGGCGUAGGCCUCCAAAAAGGUAACGGAGGCGUGCAAAGGUUCCCUCGGGCCAGACGGAGAUUGGCACUCGAGUGCAAAGGCAGAAGGGAGCUUGACUGCAAGACACACCCGUCGAGCAGGGACGAAAGUCGGCCUUAGUGAUCCGACGGUGCCGAGUGGAAGGGCCGUCGCUCAACGGAUAAAAAUUACUCUAGGGAUAACAGGCUGAUCUUUUCCAAGAGCUCACAUCGACUGGAAGGUUUGGCACCUCGAUGUCGGCGCUUCGCCACCUGGGGCUGUAGUAUGUUCCAAGGGUUGGGCUGUUCGCCCAUUAAAGCGGUACGCGAGCUGGGUUCAGAACGUCAUGAGACAGUUCGGUCCAUAUCCGGUGUGGGCGUUAGAGCAUUGAGAGUACCUUUCCCUAGUACGAGGGGACCGGGAAGGACGCACGUCUGGUGUGCCAGUUACGUGCCCACGGUAAACGCUGGGUAGCCAAGUGCGGAGCGGAUAACUGCUGAAAGCAUCUAAGUAGUAAGCCCACUCCAAGAUGAGUGCUCUCCUAUUCUGACUUCCCCAGAGCCUCCGGUAGCACAGCCGAGACAGCGAUGGGUUCUCUGCCCGUGCGGGGAUGGAGCGAAAGAACUUGAGAUUCAGAGAAGGUCAGGCGGACGAGCCGGUUUCUUCUCAUAACGAUAGGGUUGUCAAGUGGAAGUGCAGUGAUGUAUGCAGCUGAGGCAUCCUAACAGACCGGUAGACUUGAAA